AACUUUAUUGUGCUCAGACCGCUGCUGAUCGAUCAGGACCGAAGAACAGACCUGGAAGUUGGACUUCCCCUCAGAGCCGGAAUGGUACAGAGGUUUUAAGCUCGAAAGCCACAAAUAUCUGCCCCUAUAUGCAGUCACAACUCAGAAUCAUUUAUUCGUUCAUAAUUAGAAACAAUCAUUAUGUUUUGGGGAACAAAAAAAAAAAAAGCCGGGCGGUGGUGGCGCACGCCUUUAAUCCCAGCACUUGGGAGACAGAGGCAGGCAGAUUUCUGAGUUCGAGGCCAGCCUGGUCUACAAAGUGAGUUCCAGGACAGCCUGGAACUCAGAGAAACCCUGUCUCAAAAAAAAAAACCCAAUAAUAAUAAGAAGAAGAAGAAGAGGAAGAAGAAGAGGAAGAAGAAGGAGGAGGAAGUUGGCUAGCCAUCUGGGAAGUCCUUGGCUCCCCUAGAACCUGGGAAUUUAAUCUUCAUUUCUCCUUAGGAUCUAAGUGGAAUGAAACAAAACGGCAUUUCCACAUAGCUCAAGUCGGUUUUCAACUUUCUAUGUAGCCGAGGAUGUCCCUCAACCUCUCAUCCUCCUGCCUCUACAUCCCAAGGGUUGAGAUUCCAGGUGUGUACCACCAUGCCUGAUUUAUGUGGUUCUGGGCAUUGAACUCAGGAUCGAGUGUAUGCUAGACAAAAACACUCUCUCAACUGAGCUAUAUCCCCAGUCCUUGGAAGUAUUUUAUUUUAAUUAAGUUAAAAGCAUUUUUUUAGGAAGGAUUUUAUAAUCUUCACUGUUCAUCAGAGGUUAGAUAUAGCCACGAAUGGAUAAUGAGAAUGCCAAAUUGGUUAAUGCAUGAGAAAAAAAUUUAACUUUUACUUGCAUUCAUAAUAAUCAUUUAUUUAUUUAUUUAAAGAUUUAUUCAUUUCUUUUAUGUGAGUACACUGUAGCUGUCUUCAGACACAUCAGAAGAGGGCAUUGGAUUUCAUUACAGAUGGUUGUGAGCCACCAUGUGGUUGCUGGGAACUGAACUCAGGACCUCAGGAAGAGCAGUCAGUGCUCUUAACCACUGGUCUAUCUCUUCAGCCCUGUAUUCAUAAUUUUUAAUUGAUUAAUUAGUAAUUAAUAUGUGAAUUAUGUUUUUGAGAUAGGAUUUCACUAUGUAGCUCUGGCUGUCCUAGGACUCACUAUAUAGACCAGGCUGGCCUCAAACUCACAUAGAUCCUCAUGCCUCCGUCUCCCAAAUGCUGGGACUAAAGGCGUGAGCCAUUCUGCCCAGCUGUAUUCAUAAUUUACAUAGCUAUCCUGGGUGGUGGCUCCCUUCCUGGAUGGGACAGUUUCAACCAGAAACCAAGCCUGGGGCUACAGCUCUGUUGGCUGUGUAUGUAUCCCAUGGAGACACAGCUCUGGGUGCUGUGGUGCACUUGACAGACCUGGGAUGCAGAGUCAGGAGCUCAGGGCCAUUCCCUGUCCCUGGCCUUCUGCUCAAACUCAGGAUGCUGCAGAUGAGGUCAUUCUACACAGGAAACCAAGGAGUGAGGCAGGGUUGGUUGGAGGAGGACAUGCUAAAUUUGAGGUUUCUGUGAUGUUUGCAUCAAAUCAUCUAAUAAAGUGACCGAGAGGCCGUUUUGUUUUGCUCU
rnacentral:lncRNA from 1 species